AUUGUUAGGAAGGAUCACAAAAGUACAGCUCCCAAAAUUACUACAGAGCUUAAUGUCCACCUCGAGAACCCAGGUUCCACAAACACUGUUCGCCGAGAGCUGCACAAAGCCGGAUUUCACGGGAGGGUUGCAAUCAGAAAACCGCUACUUUCAAAAGCAAACAUUGUAAAGCGUUUAGAAACUGGAAGAAAAAAGAUAUAUAUAUAUAUAUAUAUAUAU